rnacentral:lncRNA from 1 species
GACCUCUCAAAGUGCUGGGAUUAUAGGUUCAGCCAGUUCUCCUGGGUAUUCCAAGCACACAGUCAUGUGAUCUGUGAACAGUGGUAACUUAGCCUUGACAUCUCACUAUUUUACUGGCACUUCUGACUCUCCUCUGAUUUUAUUGUCUAGCCUUCUGUAACCAGCCUACAUAAGAUCACAGCUUCGGUCUGUAUUCACAGAAAUAAAUUCCCA